rnacentral:rRNA from 1 species
GACGAACGCUGGCGGCGUGCUUAACACAUGCAAGUGGAGCGACGAACCAGGCUUCGGCCUGGGGCAAAGCCGCGAACGGGUGAGUAACACGUGGGUAACCUGCCCCAAUGAUCGGGACAACCCGGGGAAACCCGAGCUAAUACCGAAUGUGCACCUGCCACAUCAGUGGCAGUUGGAAAGGAAGCUUCGGCCUCCGCAUUGGGAUGGGCCCGCGGCCCAUUAGCUUGUUGGUGAGGUAAUGGCUCACCAAGGCUGCGAUGGGUAGCUGGUCUGA